GGCUCUCAGAGCAAUGUGGGGGAGGAGUGUUGGAGCUUGAACUUCCCUGCCCUCUGAAGGCUUCUUUUAGGCCCUAUUUAUAAGAUUGAGCUAGGGAGGAGUUGAUCUGCAGAGCUGGAUGUGCCCUGAGGCCAAAACCUCAAGAAGGGGGUGUGGGAAGAUGGAGUGUCUUGACCUUGACUAGGCUGACUGCCCUACACUUCUCCUCCAGGUGCGUCCCUGCUACCUGUGUUCAACACCCUGAGCCUGGCACAGCUAUUCCAGCAAAGUACUCCCACAGGACUAGUGUCCUUGCCUGCCCAGAGAUUCCUGAUACCUCUGAAGGCUCAGCACUGUAGGUGGGGGAGAGGAUCUUCCUUCUUCCUUCCCCUUAAAUCCAUGUGUUCUAGAUUCCAGCCUUUUUUGGUGAAGAACGAUUGAAAUUGUGAGCUUCAAAGGAUAUUGAGAAUGAACUACUGAAGAGGUCUAUGAAGUCUAUUCCAAUGAUCACUGAGCACAGGUUCAAGAUCCAGAGAAAGGAUGGAAAAGAAAGUAGAAGAAAAUAUGGGAAGAACUUGAAAGAGAAAAGAACUGAAGGACAAAGAGGAAAAAGAAGAGGAGGAAAGUGAAAGAAUAGAAAAGAUAGGUCCAGAUUAGUCCAGCUAAUACUCUUUACACAGAAUGUGUAUAUGCAUGUAUGUAUUUAUAAAAUUCCUGUCUGAUAUAUAAAUGAAACAUGGAAUUGGGAGGAAAUUUUAUUAAAGAGAAUAUACAUUUUUAAAAAAUGAGUCACAUAUAUCACAUAUUUAGAAUUCAUAUUGCAGCAAAUGAAAAAAUAUAACAUCAACAAUUUUAACUUUUCACAAAUCACAAUACCUGCAUAAUAUGAUAUUUUUAAAUUAUUUGAAAGAUGCAACUGUUUUCUGUUUGUCAUUAGAUUAGUAAAAUGUUAAAUAUUUUGAUAUGACACCUUGUUUAUUUUAAAACUAAGAGAAAAUGUGGUUAGACUUUUAAAAUCUUUUUUGGUAAAAUAUAUAUGUAGGUUAUUU
rnacentral:lncRNA from 1 species